rnacentral:rRNA from 1 species
UACGUAGGGGGCAAGCGUUAUCCGGAUUUACUGGGUGUAAAGGGGGCGCAGACGGCGAUGCAAGCCAGGAGUGAAAGCCCGGGGCCCAACCCCGGGACUGCUCUUGGAACUGCGUGGCUGGAGUGCAGGAGGGGCAGGCGGAAUUCCUGGUGUAGCGGUGAAAUGCGUAGACAUCAGGAGGAACACCGGUGGCGAAGGCGGCCUGCUGGACUGCAACUGACGUUGAGGCCCGAAAGCGUGGGGAGCAAACAGG